rnacentral:lncRNA from 1 species
CUUGUCUUUCUAACACUUCGCUCUUGGACCUUGCUCAGAAAUUUGAUUUUCUUCCAGAAACUUUACUAACUUUAGAGAUUAAUAACUUAAGAUUUAGAACUCAAAUCAAGAAAAUUCUUUCUAUAAACUUGUUUAGAAAUAUCUUAAAUAUCUCACCUCAAAAUUUUAACAAAAUAAAUUCAAGUAUUAAGUUUUGUAGCUCAAAAACACUCAACACUAUCCAGUUUACCUUUGAAAAUAACCUUUGUGGUCUUCUUCCUUUCAACGCGUCCCUUCCUCAUGUCUUCUCUAUUUGGCAGCCCUAUCCUUGAUACUAAACUCAAUUUAAGAUACUUUUCAAGUGGAAU